CCUACGGGCGGCAGCAGUGGGGAAUAUUGGACAAUGGGCGAAAGCCUGAUCCAGCCAUGCCGCGUGUGUGAAGAAGGCCUUCGGGUUGUAAAGUACUUUCAGUGGGGAAGAAAGCCUUGGGGCUAAUACCCUCGAGGAAGGACAUCACUCACAGAAGAAGCACCGGCUAACUCCGUGCCAGCAGCCGCGGUAAUACGGAGGGUGCGAGCGUUAAUCGGAAUUACUGGGCGUAAAGCGCGCGUAGGCGGUCUGAUAAGCCGGUUGUGAAAGCCCCGGGCUCAACCUGGGAACGGCAUCCGGAACUGUCAGGCUAGAGUGCAGGAGAGGAAGGUAGAAUUCCAGGUGUAGCGGUGAAAUGCGUAGAGAUAGGGAGGAAUACCAGUGGCGAAGGCGGCCUUCUGGACUAACACUGACGCUGAGGUGCGAAAGCGUGGGUAGCAAACAGGAUUAGAUACCCUGGUAGUC
rnacentral:rRNA from 1 species